AGCGAACGCUGGCGGCAGGCCUAACACAUGCAAGUCGAACGCAUCCUUCGGGAUGAGUGGCAGACGGGUGAGUAACGCGUGGGAACGUGCCCUUCGAUCUGGGAUAACCCGGGGAAACCCGGGCUAAUACCGGAUACGUCCGAGAGGAGAAAGGUUCACCGUCGAGGGAUCGGCCCGCGUCUGAUUAGCUAGUUGGUGGGGUAACGGCCCACCAAGGCGACGAUCAGUAGCUGGUCUGAGAGGAUGAUCAGCCACACUGGGACUGAGACACGGCCCAGACUCCUACGGGAGGCAGCAGUGGGGAAUAUUGGACAAUGGGCGCAAGCCUGAUCCAGCCAUGCCGCGUGAGUGAUGACGGCCUUAGGGUUGUAAAGCUCUUUCGCCCACGACGAUAAUGACGGUAGUGGGAGAAGAAGCCCCGGCUAACUUCGUGC
rnacentral:rRNA from 1 species